rnacentral:sRNA from 1 species
GUUCAAAAUCAUUUCUAGCAAGUACAAGAGAUUUAGAAUAGCCUUCAAGGCCUAUCAGAAUUUCCCUGGUGAUUAGCGCAAUCUUCGCGCACCCCGGCCUCGGU